rnacentral:pre_miRNA from 1 species
UUGGAGGUUUGAAGACUUUAACAUGCAAACUUGACAAAUUUAAAGACUUGAACUUCCAGAGUAAGAGGAUUUGAAUACUUCAACU